rnacentral:tRNA from 1 species
GCCCCCAUAGCUCAGGUGGAUAGAGCACAGGAUUCCUAAUCCUGGUUUGCGCAUGUUCGAGUCAUGCUGGGGGCACCA